rnacentral:rRNA from 1 species
UGGGGAAUUUUGGACAAUGGGCGCAAGCCUGAUCCAGCAAUGCCGCGUGAGUGAAGAAGGCCUUCGGGUUGUAAAGCUCUUUCAGUUGAGAAGAAAAGAACGUGAAUAAUACGCGCGUUUCAUGACGGUAUCAACAGAAGAAGCACCGGCUAACUACGUGCCAGCAGCCGCGGUAAUACGUAGGGUGCGAGCGUUAAUCGGAAUUACUGGGCGUAAAGGGUGCGCAGGCGGUUCUGAAAGUCAGAUGUGAAAUCCCUGGGCUUAACCUAGGAAUUGCGUUUGAAACUACAGAACUAGAGUGUGGCAGAGGGGGGUGGAAUUCCAUGUGUAGCAGUGAAAUGCGUAGAGAUAUGGAAGAACAUCGAUGGCGAAGGCAACCCCCUGGGUUAACACUGACGCU